UGAGCAAUCUGCCCUUCUCAUCGGAAUAAGCGUUGGAAACGACGUCUAAUGCCGAAUACGACCUCCUUUCGCAUGAUCGGAGGUGGAAAGCUCCGGCGGAGAAGGAUGAGCUCGCGGCCUAUCAGCUAGUUGGUGUGGGUAAUGGCCCACCAAGGCGACGAUGGGUAGCCGGCCUGAGAGGGCGACCGGCCACACUGGGACUGAGACACGGCCCAGACUCCUAGGAGG
rnacentral:rRNA from 1 species